GAUGAACGCUAGCGGGAGGCUUAACACAUGCAAGUCGAGGGGCAGCAUAGGGUAGCAAUACUCUGAUGGCGACCGGCAAACGGGUGAGUAACGCGUAUGCAACCUACCCUGUACAGGGGGAUAACCCGGAGAAAUUCGGACUAAUAUCCCGUAAUAAUAUCCGGAGGCAUCUUUGGAUAUUUAAAGUUUCGACGGUACGGGAUGGGCAUGCGUAACAUUAGCUGGUUGGUAAGGUAACGGCUUACCAAGGCUAUGAUGUUUAGGGGUCCUGAGAGGGUGGUCCCCCACACUGGUACUGAGACACGGACCAGACUCCUACGGGAGGCAGCAGUGAGGAAUAUUGGUCAAUGGGCGCAAGCCUGAACCAGCCAUCCCGCGUGCAGGAAGACGGCCCUAUGGGUUGUAAACUGCUUUUUCCAGGGAGAGAAACUUACGCACGUGUUGCGUGACUGACGGUACCCUGGGAAUAAGCAUCGGCUAACUCCGUG
rnacentral:rRNA from 1 species